rnacentral:misc_RNA from 1 species
AAGUCGUAACAAGGUUUCCGUAGGUGAACCUGCGGAAGGAUCAUUACCUUUCAGUACUGAAACGAGGGUUUUGAGGUAGGUUUAACCUGGCUCUCAUCCUUUGCUUCAAGUAUUAUCACCCUUGAUUUUUGCGUACUCAUGUUUCCUCGGUAGGCUUGCCUGCCGAUUGGACAAACUUAUAACCUUUUUAAUUUUCAAUCAGCGUCUGAAAUAAAUUAAUAAUUACAAC